AGGUUUUGAUCAGGGGACUCAGCACCCCAGCGCGUAGGUUGUGAUUCGGACCGUGUUUGAGUCAGUCGACAAUUUCUAGGCACUGGAUUCGUAGAAUCUGUCGGAUGGGACAAGAAGUGAGCUCGAUCUGAGUCAGACUGCUAAAUAGUUAGAAGUCAAUUUAUCUCUUAUUUAUGGACAUUUGAAUUUAUGUAAUCAUUCAGUACAUUUUGGUUGGAUCUGAUUGAAUUCCAUUAAUUAUUGAUUUUGGCAUUUAUUGGAAUUA